AUCCAAUGAAUGCGCACCACAAAGGCUGGCUUUAAUAGAUCUCAGCAAAGUAGGAGUAUAUAUUUCGUGAAAACUCCUUCUCGAACCGACUUUGAAAAUCAUUUCUCCGCAGGUAUUGUUCAUCCCUGAAAGAAGUUGGAAAAUUUCAUGACUCCACUGUCCAGUGAGGGUAUCGAGCCGUACGCAGUUCACCGCGAGCUUUACGAACCGGAUUUGAUUUGAUUGUGGCAGAUAUGAGACGGAAGCGAGCCGUUGAGUCCAUUGGAAGAAAAAUCAAGACUUUGCAUCUGUAGUGUUUUUAAUUUUCCUCGGAAAUCUUUUAUCUGAAAUUCUAAUCAUUAGGAGGGACAUCCAAGAAGGAAGAAGUGAAAACGCAUUUGUGGGGAAAAUUAAGAAAGAAGUAAGUAAUUUCGUCUCCUCCGUUUCCUGCAAGGUUUAACGCGUCACCACACUUUUCAAUGGAUUACAUACUUGCGUUUUAUCCUUAAUAGGUUACUAUUGUACAGGUUGUCUGCAACAAGUUCAACUGUUUCUUUUACCCAAAAAAAAUAAAAGUUCAACUGUAUCACCAAGGUUAAAGGAGUUGAACUUUUUGGUGAGUUAUUUGAGUCUUUCGUGAAUCAUCUUAGUUUUCUUAUUGGCUGAGGGAUAAUACUCAGUGACUGCACGAGUGCAAAUGUAUAAGAAUUACAAGUAGAACUGGCGCUUUUACAGCUAAAUUUUUGGGAUGUCCGAGUUGAGAACUCGCACGCAUUAGCUUUCAAGGAACAAAAAGAUGAGAAAGUCAUCUCAUGAAACUGGUUCUUUUGCCAGGAUGGAAUGCUCGGGUAUCACAUUUUUAGAAGCAUAAGCAUCCUACCACGUCGAUUGAGAUAUGGGAUUUAUCCUUAGAGAAGGAUGAAGCAGAGUUCAACGCAUAUACCAAGGAACAACUGAACAGGUUAAAACACCUUAAGACUUUUCUUUCACCAGAAAAUCAGGGACAAAGACUUGAAGGAACUUCAUAGGCACAACCAGAUUCCAGGGAUGAUAAUCUCAACUGCUUCUGAUGGUUUCAAACAGUUUUGAUGCCGUACAACAUGUAGAACACUUUUCCUGAUCUCGGUUCCUAAGAAGAUGGAGUCUCUGAAAAAAAAAAUUAAGUGUAGUCUCUUGGGUUUUGUAUUGUCAUCUCUCUUUUCUACUGAAAUUUUCUUUCAUUGAUAGCAAGUUAUAUGAAUUGUACUCUUUCACAACUUAACGUUUGACAAAUAAUUCUUGAAAAUCA